rnacentral:lncRNA from 13 species
CACAGCCCCUGCUCUUGUAGCCAUCCAGCGCACAUACUGUUCAGUAGACAGCUAGGGAAACACAGCCACUGGAGCAGGGUAACAAGAAAAGGAAGAGGACUGAAGAGGAGAGCAGUACUGUUCCAGCUCCGGCUCGUCAAGGCUGAGGAGGAGAAACUGACGACAGCGCGAACUUGGUCACCAGUGAGAUGCAACUCAGGGAGGGAACGCUCUGCCGCGUGGUACGACAUCUGAUGAAAGAAGCCCUCGAAUUGGACAGCCUGGAAGACGAGCCAGCCCUCUCCCUCAGAUCCCGUGCCCCCCCACUGUCAAAGUAUGAAAGGAGACGACUUUUCCCUUAGUUGCCAGGGAUGUCUGUGCACUACGGAAAGGCGAAAAAUCCCUUCAGUAUGUCCUAUGCUAUGUUCCUCCUGAUGCUCUGCAAGACUGGUCUGAAAGGGAAACUGCAGACCUUUCCUGGAAAAAUGGUAAACACUGCCAUCUGUGAUGAAGAAAGAGGAAUUCAAGACAAGGAAGGUACAGAGGAGUCCAUUCUGGCCAUGCUUGGGAUCAUCGGCACCAUUCUCAACAUGGUAUCAGGAGUGGACCGAUCACCUCUGCUAAGGCGCGGGAACCUGCCAAUUCGGGCUGAGGCAAGGGAACAUGAUGACCUAGAUCGCCAGGAAAGAGAGCAUACUGCUCCAGCCACAGGAAGCCUACCAACGGGAUGAUCUGCUGAGGCACAGAAACCUGACAAACAGGCUGAGGCGUGAGAGCCUGAUGAGCCGGCUGAGACCUCCCCGGUUGCCUUGGUUGAGGCACGGGAACCUGUUCACCAGCUGAGGCAUGGAAGCCUAUUGAGCCAGCUGGGGCAUGGGAGCCUACCGAUCCCGCUGAGGUAUGGAAACCCGUUGUGCCAGCUUAGGCAGGGGAAACCGACAAACCGUCUGAGGCCUCCCAGGUAGCUUGGUUCGGACGCCCAGACCCGAAAUCACCUUCAACACAAAAAAAAUUAAAAAUACUUUACUCCCUUUUUUUUAAACACUUCCUGAUGCGUCCCUUUGUUGAGUUGUCCUUUUGUAACGAUGUACGCUGAGAGUCGGAAAGCAAGUUCAGGGAGUGAAAACGUUUAAUAAAUAAAUGAACAAACCAAGAAACACAAACAGCACAUCUACAUGAAACAGCAACUAUGACGACGGGGGAGGAAACCCAGGCAGGUAAUCAAGGAGGUGAUGGAGUCCAAGUGAGUGUCAAUAUGCGCCAUAACGAGCAGCCUGAUGACCUAGAGGCCGGAGACGGAGCACGCGUGGAAGUUACUACAUGAUUCCAUAUGUGUUAUUUCAUAAUUUUGAUGUCUUCACUAUUAUUCUACAAUGUAGAAAAUAGUAAAAAAUAAAGAAAAACCCCUGAAUGAGUAGGUGUGUCCAAACUUUUGACUGGUACUCAGGGUUUUACUUGAUUUGUUCUGUAUAUUGAAAAGUAGCCAGAGCGAAUCAGUUGUGAUGUGACAAGGCAGGGGUGGUAUACAGAAGAUAGCCCUAAUUAGUAAAAGACCAAGUCUAUAUUAUGGCAAGAGCAGCUCAAAUAAGCAAAGAUAAAUGACAGUCCAUCAUUACUUUAAGACAGCAAGGUUAGUCAAUAAGUAAAAUUUCAAGAACUUUUAAAGUUUCUUCAAGUGAAGUCGCAAAAACCUUCAAGCACAUGCAAGACCAUGGGCCAGAAAAGGUUGAAUACAUUGCCAAUGCUGUCAAUCCAGCAUGACUUCUGCUGCGUUAAAAAAACUAUCGGAAACUCGUAAACCUCAAACUUCAGUGAGUUCAAGACAAUUGGGAACUUGGAAAAAAAAACUAGUUCCGACUGGUAAAAUACUUUUUGAACGGUCAUCCAACUCGAAAUUCCAAGUCGGGAAUUCUGGCAACUUUCUAGAACUCUGACCUGAAGAUCACAGACGUCAUGAUUCAACCUUGUUUUUUUUUCAGAGUUCCCAGUUAUCUUGAAAGCAACAUAAAUCCAGAGAAUGCCAGACUUUGAUGACAAAGUUUGAUGACAAAAUUUGUCCACAAGUAGGACAGCCGUGCAACCUUCCUGUUCAAGUGAGCACAGCACAACAAGGUGAGUCCAAAAAUGUCUUGUAUGCUACUGCAUAAAUUAUGUAAUAUGCCAGGGAGAUAUGUAUACCGUAGCUUAGAAAGUAAUACUAAGUGUAUGUCGUGUAGUAAGCUGUUAGUAGCCCAUGUGCCUCACUCUAAUAACCUUUCCCCCUCAUAAUUUAGGCUACUGUUCUGACUUGGUGGUGCACAUGUAGCCUAAAGUCUGUUUCCGACAAAUGUCAUCAUCGAAUAUUGUAAGAGCUUUAAUUGUCUGCUUAUAGUCUCCCUUUAUUUAUCCUAUGGCUCUGACUUGGUGUACAGGGAGAAUACUGUAAGAACGCCCCAUGUUCUGAAUUUUGUUGCUGUAAAUUUCAAAAGUGCUGAGCAAAUAGUUAUAUUGACUACGUCCGUCUUAGUUCGCUCAUUAAUAUCUUAAACGAAAUUACAGAUUGCCUCUUAUCUGUUCAUAGUUAUCUUAUGCCUUAGUUUGUACAUCUUAAUUGUCAGUAGAAACCACACCAGUUUAAGCAAGUCAGCCAUAUCAGCUAUGUUUUUAAAAAGGCAGUAAUUGAGGCUGAAUUAACAGUUUUGCUGCCAGACAAGGCUCCGCUGAUAGCCAUGUGUAGUAGUGGUAAGGAUUUUCUCCAUGGUGCUGAAAAGAAAGCUCUACUGUUGGGACAGCUUUAUGUAGGCCCUAACAGUUUGUGGGUGUCACACCCUGACCUUAGAGAUCCUUUUUAUUCUCUAUUUUGGUCAGGGUGUGAUUAGGGUGGGUAGUCUAGUUUUUAAUUUCUAUGUUGGCCUGGUAUGUUUCCCGAUCAGAGGCAGCUGUCUAUCGUUGUCUCUGAUUGGAAAUAUAUUUAGGCAGCCUUCUAAAGUUCUCAUUUACAACUGCGACCUGGCCAAGAUAAAGCAAAGCAGUGCGACACAAGCAACAACACAGAGUUACUGUUACGGUGCGUGAAUGAGGACCCAAAAGCGAAUUAACUUAAACAGAGCUUCUUUAAUUACCAAACAUAGGUAGGCUCAGACGGACCGGCAGAUUCCGACAGGACAAGACAAGGUUACAGCAAACAUGACGACAGUCUGGUUCAGGCAUGAAACACAACAAACAAGAAUCCGACAAGGACAGGAACAAAAACAGAGAGAGAUAUAGGGGACUAAUCAGAGGGAAAAAGGGAACAGGUGGGAAAAGGGGUGACGAGGUGGUUAGGAGGAGACAAGGCACAGCUGGGGAAAAGAGGGGGUGGAAAGGUAACCUAACAACGACCAGCAGAGGGAGACAGGGUGAAGGGAAAGGACAGAGACAAGACACAACAUGACAGUACAUGACAGUACCCCCCCACUCACCGAGCGCCUCCUGGCGCACUCGAGGAGGAAACCUGGCGGCAACGGAGGAAAUCCUCGAUCAGCGCACGGUCCAGCACGUCCCGAGAGGGAACCCAACUCCUCUCCUCAGGACCGUACCCCUCCCAAUCCACGAGGUACUGGUGACCACGGCCCCGAGGACGCAUGUCCAAAAUUCUACGGACCCUGUAGAUGGGUGCGCCCUCGACAAGGAUGGG